UAGCUCAGUGGGUAGAGUGCUUGCCUCACAUGCACAAGGCCCUGGGUUCAAUCCCCAG
rnacentral:tRNA from 1 species